rnacentral:rRNA from 1 species
UACGAAGGGUGCAAACGUUGCUCGGAAUCAUUGGGCGUAAAGCGCACGUAGGCGGCCUCAUAAGUCGGAUGUGAAAUCCCUCGGCUCAACCGAGGAAGUGCAUCCGAAACUGCGAGGCUCGAGUAUGGAAGAGGGUCGCAGAAUUCCCGGUGUAGAGGUGAAAUUCGUAGAUAUCGGGAGGAAUACCAGUGGCGAAGGCGGCGUUCUGGACUGCAACUGACACUGAGGAACGAAAGCCAGGGGAGCAAACGGG